rnacentral:rRNA from 1 species
GGACGAACGCUGGCGGCGUGCCUAAUACAUGCAAGUUGAGCGCUGAAGGUUGGUACUUGUACCAACUGGAUGAGCAGCGAACGGGUGAGUAACGCGUGGGGAAUCUGCCUUUGAGCGGGGGACAACAUUUGGAAACGAAUGCUAAUACCGCAUAAAAACUUUAAACACAAGUUUUAAGUUUGAAAGAUGCAAUUGCAUCACUCAAAGAUGAUCCCGCGUUGUAUUAGCUAGUUGGUGAGGUAAAGGCUCACCAAGGCGAUGAUACAUAGCCGACCUGAGAGGGUGAUCGGCCACAUUGGGACUGAGACACGGCCCAAACUCCUACGGGAGGCAGCAGUAGGGAAUCUUCGGCAAUGGACGAAAGUCUGACCGAGCAACGCCGCGGGAGUGAAGAAGGUUUUCGGAUCGUAAAACUCUGUUGGUAGAGAAGAACGUUGGUGAGAGUGGAAAGCUCAUCAAGUGACGGUAACUACCCAGAAAGGGACGGCUAACUACGUG